UACGGGGGGGGCAAGCGUUGUUCGGAAUUACUGGGCGUAAAGGGCUCGUAGGCGGCAACCUAAGUCGGCGGUGAAAUCCCUCGGCUUAACCGGGGAACUGCAUCUGAUACUGGAUGGCUUGAGAUUGGGAGAGGGAUGCGGAAUUCCAGGUGUAGCGGUGAAAUGCGUAGAUAUCUGGAGGAACACCGGUGGCGAAGGCGGCAUCCUGGACCAACACUGACGCUGAGGAGCGAAAGCCAGGGGAGCAAACGGG
rnacentral:rRNA from 1 species